CCUACGGGAGGCAGCAGUGAGGAAUAUUGGUCAAUGGGCGCGAGCCUGAACCAGCCAAGUAGCGUGAAGGAUGACUGCCCUACGGGUUGUAAACCUCUUUUAUAAAGGAAUAAAGUGCGGCACGUGUGCCUUUUUGUAAGUACUUUAUGAAUAAGGAUCGGCUAACUCCGUGCCAGCAGCCGCGGUAAUACGGAGGAUGUGAGCGUUAUCCGGAUUUAUUGGGUUUAAAGGGUGCGUAGAUGGGUUGUUAAGUCAGUUGUGAAAGUUUGCGGCUCAACCGUAAAAUUGCAAUUGAUACUGGCAGCCUUGAGUACAGGUGAGGUAGGCGGAAUUCGUGGUGUAGCGGUGAAAUGCAUAGAUAUCACGAAGAACUCCGAUUGCGAAGGCAGCUUACUAAACUGCCACUGACAUUGAUGCUCGAAAGUGUGGGUAUCAAACAGGAUUAGAUACCCUAGUAGUC
rnacentral:rRNA from 1 species